AGGCACACAUAGUUGUGCUUUUCUCAGCAAAAGCCCUCCAAGUUCAUCCUGUAAAGUUGCACAUUUGAAGACUGUGGAUGGCUCUCUCCAUGUAUUUCUCAUCCUUGUUGGACCAAUGGACUAGCUAGGGCUUGUUUCUCUGUGACUCCUCUCCUAAAAGUGACAGAAUCACAAGAGGUGACAUGUUCAACUCUGAGUAUACUCCGUUAGUCAAAGCAAGUCUCACAACUGAACUCAAAAACAAGAGGAUGAACAGUCAGAAGAAAAGAAAAGAUAUGGAACCUGCUUGUACCUGGAGUUUAUUGUCUAAAGAGAAAG